rnacentral:rRNA from 1 species
AAGGAUCAUUGUUGAACCUCU